rnacentral:rRNA from 1 species
AUUGAACGCUGGCGGCAGGCCUAACACAUGCAAGUCGAACGAGUGGCGGACGGGUGAGUAAUGUCUGGGCAACUGCCUGACGGAGGGGGAUAACUACGGGAAAAGGUAGCUAAUACCGCAUACCAUCGGAUGUGCCCAGAUGGGAUUAGCUAGUAGGGGGGGUAAAGGCUAACCUGGGCGACGAUCCCUAGCUGGUCUGAGAGGAUGACCGGCCACACUGGAACUGAGACACGGUCCAGACUCCUACGGGAGGCAGCAGUGGGGAAUAUUGCACAAUGGGCGAAAGCCUGAUGCAGCCAUGCCGCGUGAAUGAAGAAGGCCUUCGGGUUGUAAAGUACUUUCAGCGAGGAGGCGUUACUCGCAGAAGAAGCACCGGCUAACUCCGUGCCAGCCGCCGCGGUAAUAC